CACAAUGCCAGUGAUAAGACCUUCCAAUCCAGUAACAAACAAGAAGCCAUGAGUAGACUUUACAUUUUUAUUCUUAAAGAUGUUUAAUUUCACCUAUGACUUUUUUCUUGUAUGCUGAUUUUUAGCGGGCCAACAGCAUCAUCGACAUUUGCAGUGCCCUCCAUAAUUAUUAACAAUCCUGGUUAAGAUGUGAAAACUAAUAUUUGCACCUUUUGUGAAGUUGUUUUGGAGUAAUUAUGAAAAGUGCUAUACAAAUAAAAUUUUAUUGGAUUAUCAUUAUUAGGAAGUGUUUAUUUAGUUAUUUCCUAGGGACACUUUUGGUCUUGGAGUAAAUUACCAUUUUUCCGUUAGGCGGCGGUAUAAACUAGCAGUGUGUCGUUCGCCAAAAACGUGCUAAAGAAAAAAUUCCCGCCGAGAUUCUCGCAUGCUUCGGGGAUUCGCAGUAUCGUAGUUGCAUUUGUUGUGGGCAUUGUUAAUGUUUUCAAACACCUAAAGGCUGACUAGUUUGAGGUACAUCCGUUAUCUUCAACCAGAAUGAAGGCAGUGUUUCAUCUUUGUGGCCCUCGCAUAUGAGCUUAUGUAGAAUUUGAAUUUUCCAUAAGCUGUUUGUCUGUCUACUUGGAUUCACUCAGGGUUUCAAGAUGGCUCUCAAAAAGGAGUGUACUACAAGGUGCAGGCGAAAAUCAUCGCUUAUGCUGUUAGAUAGUAGAUUAACGAAACCCUUGAAGGUUUCUUGAGGGCCGCUGUGGUGCUGAGUUUAGCUCUAACUUGCUUCAACACACCUGCCCUGGGGUUUCUAGUAUAUCUAGUAAGAACUUGAUUAGCUGCUUCAGGUGUGUUUGAUUAGGGUGACCCGAGUUUGGACACCCCUGCAUUAGAGGGAGAGUAAAUAGAUGGCCUGAUGCCUGUAGUCAGUUGGAUGAUUAUAUACACUAGAUGCCUUGAUUCUGCAUGAAUGGGGGAUUAACCACUAGAAGGUCCAUUCAAAGGAUUCUAGAAAUUGUACCAAUUCCAGUCUGGAUCCAGCCUACCUGGUGAACACCACAGAAGACAUCAAAGCUAAUGAGUUUAGAUAACUAGAACUGGACAAACAGAGUUGGCAAAAAUCAAAGCAAACACCACUACAUUACUAUAUUAUUAUUAAAACAAUAAAAAUAUAAAAGAGAUAGAUGGACUUGGUGAGAUUUACCUGUUUUGUGAUGAUUUUGUUUAGCUGUAGAUUUAAAUAUCCAUUGAGGAAAAAUAUUUGCACCAUUAAGAACUGAUCAUAUUGAUCUCUGUUGCUAUCUUAUGGCGGAACAAUGUAACGCCAAACUGCCAAAGAAUUUCCAUUAAAUAUUACUACAAUUUAUAAUCAAAUGUCAUUUGUUGAACAACAACAUGUAACAAACAAGAAUAUAAAGAUGCCAAAUAAAUAAGUCAAAUUGUUAAUGGAUGGCAACAUUUUGUCUGUUUAACUGAGCACAAUGCUUUUUAUGCAUCUGACUCCGCAACAGGAGAGUCAUAACACUUAUUAAAACAUGCUUAAAUCUA